rnacentral:lncRNA from 1 species
UUUUUUAAUGUAAUACUAAGUUAAAAUAUACCAAAAAACAUUCUUUCUACUAUUUUUAGUUAAAGUACUACCGGCAUUUUUUUCCUUAUCAAGUAAUAGUAAAUACAAGUACUAUCCCUAAAUGAUAAUUAAUAUGUAUCAAGUAUCAAGCUGAAACAAGAAAACAGUACGCCGGAUCUAAAAUUGCCCUAAGGCGAACUCGGAAAAUUCGUAAAUAUAUACAUGAAUUUACACCUCAGGGUUGAAAUUGCCCUAAGUCGUGGCUCCCUGAGAACCCCUUGUACCCGCCCCUGACUGUUGUUGUGUUGUGAAUUCUGCAUACUGGAAGUUCUGAGCAUUUCCAUAUGCUAAGCACACCACGAGUGUGGCAUUGGUCUCCAUGGCCGUGGCAUGUGAGCAGAGCACGACCAUGGCAUGUGAGCUGAGCAUAGGUGAUGUGCUUGAUUAUUAGCACAUUUGUUCCCUCUUCAAUUGAUAUUUUUAGACGUUUGUUGCAUGUUUGGAGACAGAUCAAAAAUCAGCGAUAGACAAAGAUUCCUCGACAAAAGAUGUCUUCCUCUUGGGGUUAUUUUCCUUUCUUCUUACUUUCUUAUUUUCUGAACCAUGAGUAGUUAAACUCUUCGUGUUGUUUGGAUUAGAUGAAACUUUUUUUUAUCUUAGUUUUCAUAUGGAUGAUGAUGGGGAUUUAACCCUUUGAUUUUGUUAUCGAGGUUAUUCAGACUUUUGAUGUGUUUCUUAUAAACCUAAUUUCCGAUUCUUUCUCGUCUAGCCAUCUUGAUUAAAUCGUUUUCAUUGAUUUAUGGGUCUAAGAGGAAGGUAGAUCAAUAGGAAACAUAGGAAGAACUCUAGAUUCCCCAUUAGCUUGAGAAAGGAGUGGUUCGUCUAGGAUUUUUGCAUCAUUUAUCGUUUUGGUAUUUCAUCAGAAACCUUUAGUGCGUGAUGCUUGGUUGUAGAUUAGCUUGAGAGAGGAGUCUAUAGUCAAGCAUAAUAGAUCCUUAGAGUCGUGAAAGUGACCUAAGACGAUCAUAGGAAAUUGCCAAGCCAUUAUAAUCUGAUUAACCGAGAUUGCUUAUCAUUCAUCCAUACAUUGCUAGCUUUAGUGGAUUCGAGUCCGAACAACUUUCAUUCCCAUAUUUGAAACUUAAUCUCUUGCAUUUGUUUCUUUUAAUUUGAAUUCUUAGUUCAUAAUUAGAUACUACAACACUCAAACAAACAAACUUUCACUAUCACUUGGUCUAGUUAGCAUAUUUUAAUGAGUAAUAUCGUAAGAAAGACCCUAGGUAAAAUAUGAUUCCAUUAGUUUAUUCUUGUGGAUAUUUGAAAAGCAGGGUAAAAUCUGCUCGUCAAUAGGCGUGAGGCUUGUUCCCUCGACGUGACAUUUGUUUUUUGUCGUAGCCGGCAUCACAAUACGGGCGUGAUGCAUUCUGCAUGACUGUGGCUAGUAUACAACUCAUGGUCAUGGUGUUGCAGACCACGUCUAUAACGGUUGUAUAUAAAAAAUGUUCACCGCUCAGAGUUGUGACAGAAGCAGUUUUUCAAAAUUCUUUUCUCCCCUAAAGUUCUUGAUGAAUGAAGAUUUCUUCAGAGAAAUCUCAAUUGGAGUAGCAAAUGGCGCUAGAUCAGCAUCAAACUUCAGAAAGGUGUUUCAUGCACUAGGGUGAGCCUAGCUUUAACGAAGUUAGUUUCGUCAAUUUCCCUCUAUUUUUGUCCUCUCCAAAUUAGUUAUAAAAAAAGAUAUUUUCCUGAUAAUUUUUGGGAAUUUCUUUCAUAUAUUGAGGUUUCUUCUUGGAGGAUUCCAUGAAGGUGUAGUGAAAGUUUCAAAUUUUCAAGUCUCCAUUUUAAGUUUUAAGCCAGGAAAGCUCUAUCUAGGUGGGGGUUCAUCUCUACAUUCUGAUUUAAGAUAAGUAGAACAUCAGGAUAGUUUCUUAAUGUCAAUGUUAUCAAUAUUUUACAUGUAUCUGCAUCUAUAACGGUUCUUUAUUAGAAAACCCGAGUUUUGUUUCUGGUACCAUAGUGUGUCUAAUGUCUUAUUAUGGAGCUUAAUGCUCAUUAUGUUUAGUUUCUCUAUAGAUAUAUGUUGAUCUACCCUUUUUAACUUUCGUACUAUCAUUUAUAGGCUUGUGAUGUGUGCUAGAAUAUUGUAACACUCUAACACAUACACAAGUGUCGUUAUUGUUCGUAGGGUCCCUUUUCGAUAUGCUUAUGCACAAUCUAGCAUCUCAUGAUAUAGUGGUCCAAAGUUGAAAGGUUUUCUAUAACUAAAUGUAUUUCUAAUAUGAAAACAACGAACCAACUAAACUAAACAAGCAAGCAAGACACAAAAGUUGAUCAAAAGGGAGAAGUUAUGUUACUUGGAAAGGAGGUGAUCAAGCUCAAACUACCUAAAACAUCAAGUUGGACACAGUAGACACCGGUACGGUUAUGAUGAUGAAUUUCCACUUGGCAUUGGAACGAAGUUGUGUUGUGGUCUUCUACACAACCUACCAUCAGUAGACCACUCAAUUAUAUUGAGGGUUCGUGUCCACUCUCAAUCAAGGUAUCUAGCAAUGAACACAAGGUGUUCGAUAAAAUGUGAAGGUGACAUGACCGCCUCAAGGACCUCACAAUGACUUGGUAAGGAUACUAACUUGGUAACAUCAAUUUCCAAAAGCUCAAAGCUUCACUUAACUUGGUCCAUCAAGUAAGAAUUGAACUACCCGCCAAGUAUUUGAUGAAAUGUCCCCACGAGAAUUCCAACACAAAUGGUUCAAUACUAGGCUACUUACAAAUGAAAUCCUGGCAAGGUAAUGCAUAGAAUAUCAAGCAUUUCAUCCAAAUUAUGUAAUAAUAUCAAAUGGAUUGCAAUAACACAUAUCACUACGCACAUCAACAUCAUUCAUGGCAUCCAUGUAUGUCUAAUUAUAAUAUUUUAGGAUGAAUCAUGGAAAUAUCACACAUCCAAUUCAAAUAACAACACGUAUUUAGUUACACAUGAUCUACAAAGAAGAGAUAAAAAGAUGAAAAACUUGUCCAAAUUUAUAUUAAGAAAUAAAAAGAACAAGCUUUAAUCUUCACUUUCAUCUUCUAAUCUUCAAUCCAAUGCUCCAAACUUCCUUUUGCUUUAAUUUGAUUUUUUAAUGUGACUUCUAAGGUUCCAAAGAAAACGAAAAAGGGAAGAAAAUUGCACUCAAAAGGAUGGGAAAAGAUGAAAUGGAAAACCUUCGCUUCUCUCUCUUGAAAUGGAUAUUUAAAACAAAAAAAAUUUCAAAUGACUAACCACAGUUGUCACAUACAGUAUCAAUCGUAAUAGGCAUUAUGACUGUGACAUGUUUGGUCACGACCGUGACCUUACAAAAUAACAACAAUCCCCAUUUUGUUUCGUGCAUAUCUUCUUCAUUUGGACUCUGAUUUUGCUUUAAUUUAAACCUUUGGUUUCAUAAUUGAUCCCUCUAUCACAUGAAUAUUUGAAAUCUAAGAGAACACUCGAUGAAGACACAUAAAUGGGAUGAAAUGGCCCGUUUGCGAGAGAUCUAACUAGAAUAGAAUUUAUGGCAAACCUGUCAUAAAUACAUGGAAAAUAACAUCGAAACAAUCACGAAUAUAGCUAAACCAAGGGAGUUUAUCACCAGGUUUCAAGGUGAUGAUACCAGUUAGGUAAUUCUGAUUGCAUACUAGCUGACCACCCCCGGGCUGUGAAACCCCCUAGGCUACUACUUCUGUUUCUAAUAUCUUUGGCAUGUUUUUCAUGGUUCGAUAGCAUCAAAAAAAUCAUGAACAUACUUGGCAAAUAAAAUAAAAAUCAAAAAAAUCAUGAACAUACUUAGUUAUUAUAAGGUCAAAACCUUUAUAUAAGAACGCCAUAACUAGUCAUAAGAACGUGUAUCCAGUUGUAAGAACGAUAUAACUAGUUAUAGAUAAUUCAUGUAUCACACUACAGACGAUUCAUCGUGUAAUUGGUUACAUUCAAUUAUAACCAGUUAUGCAAAGGUGGUCGAAACCUCAAUAGUGUCUUGCCCGCUAUUAUAACUGUUUACUGAGUCGCAUAAGAAGUUAUGAGUGGUUGUGACUAAUUAAACAUACAUGUAACCAAUUAGAGAUCAUGUAACCAGUUAUAAAUGCUUGAAAUGCUUGAAGUAGUUUGCGAGAGGCAAACAUGUUUAAAUGUGGGAUGGUUUGAUGUCACAUAGAAACAUGGUGAUAACCUCCCUUAAACUAUAUUUAUGAUUGAUUCGAUGUUAUUUGUUUAGUAUUUGUGACAGGUUUGCCUACAAGUGCUAUUAUAGAUAGAUCUCUAUCAAACGUGCCAUUUUGUUGUUUUUUUUCGAGUCUUAUCUUAGAUUGUAGGUAUCCACAUGAUAGAGGGAUCAAUUACCAAACCAACGGUUCAAAACGAAACUCAAAUAGAGGUCAAACGAGAGAGAUAUGGGCGAAAAAAGUCACGAAGGCUCACUAAAAAAAUCGCCAGAAAAGUCAAGCUAAAAAAGUUACGCAAAAAAGUAAAUGAAAAAUUACAGAAUAAUCGUCAAAAAAGUUACCAGUGGCGGCACCUAACUGGAGGUGGCUGUCACUAUUGGAAGUUGUGAAAAAAAUAAUAAAUAAAUUAAAUUAUUAAAUGAUUUAAUUUUCCACUUAAAUUUAGCAGAAGAAGAAGAGGAACAAGAAGAAGAGGAAGAAGAUGCCAACCAUAAUGUGUAUCCAAUUUAGGUUUUCUUUUGAGUUGGUAGGGGAGUUGAUUGUUGGUAUUUUUCUUUAUUGCACAAUGAUAAGGAUUGAUUGGGGUGGUGAUUGAAUUGAAUUUUGGGGUUAAAAGUUUCUGCUAUUAUAAGUGACUUGUUUUGGCUUCUAUACUACCAAUAGUAUUAAUAAGGGAGGAGAAAGAAGACAGAAGAGAUGAUUUUGGGAGGAGGAAGAAAGUGGAAAAAGAAAAAGAAGAUAUUUUUUUGGCAGCUGAGUUAUUAUUAUUUAAUGAAAGAAAGUUAAUUUUUUUUUACCUAACUAAGAUGACAUGGCCAGUAAUUUUUAUGUGGCGUCCAACGUGGUAUUUUGAUGAGUUAUGUCCUUAAUGUCGUUCAUACUCAGUUAACUUUUACGAUCAAUGAUAAAGUUAAUUGAUUUAUGUUAGUACGAUUUGAAUUUUGUAACAAAAAAAUGUAUUAUUAAAAACAUAUGUCAGAUCGUGUGUCGGAUCUAAACGUUGGUAUUUGAUAGCUAUUUUUUCCUAAUCUAUUAGAUCAGUCAACUAAAAUAGUCAAGUAAUGGUUGAGAUGAAGGUUUGAGAUUUUGAAACCUUUACAUCCGCGUUCCCCGCCGGCUAAGAGCUAACCCAAAAGUCAUAAGUUUGCCUCCCGCCAGCUCUCAUUUAUCGAUUUCAAAGUUUCGAAAGGCACAUACAUGAGAAUCGUAGUUUUCUUUCGCACACGAAGUCACUUUUAUCGAUCGCAACCGUAUGAUUGAUCACUUGACGGAUUUGUUAGUAUAUAUUUGGUGGACUAUCCGAUUAUGAACACAGUCGGUUUUCAUUCGCCGAAACGCAUUUCAUAAUAUUAUAUUUUCCCAUUUUUUCCUGGUUAUACUUAUAUCUUGAUCAGUCAGAUGUGACUGUUUGAAUUUGUCGACAUCAAGUUGUUGUGCUGUUGAUAGCUCUAAAUGCUUGGCGGAGGUUGAUUUUCUAUUAUGUAUUUGCAGAUCUGUCGCAGCAAGUCAAGUCUGCGAUGGGGGACAUGCUUAAGAUGACAAGGUGAAUGGAAGAAGCUCGAGGUUUAAAUUGAAUUCGUUUUUCUUUCGGAUUUCUGACGGACUGCGUCUGCAGUGAAAUCGAUCAGAAUAUUGUCGAAGUAAUGGUGGAGAUGGGGAAAUGCAAAGAGUUCGCUACGGAGAGGAAGAAAGCUCUGGAUGAAGAGAAAGAAAAGUUUCAAAAGGCUGCUUAUGCCGUUCUAGAGAUGCUUGGCGGCUAAGCUCCAAGAACGCAGGUAUCCUCACUUGCUUUCUAAGUAUUACUAUCUUCAUAGAAUAUCGCAGUUCAAUUGUGGAUUCAGAUCUGGCCGUCAAACUUGCUUUAGCACACACACUGGUAAAUGAAAACACAUGAACCAUUUGGAAGUUGGUGUUUCAGAGUCAAUAAGGAGGAAAUCUACCAGUUGUACUUUCUUAUCCUUCUUGACCAGCUUAGUAAUCGUAUUGUACAAUCUAAAAGAUAAACAAGCGUUCAUUUUCUCUUAGAGCGUCCAAUUCUUCCACAUGCGAGCCAUCGCCCAUGAGGAUUUUGUCCCCUCUCUUUCCAAACUUCUUUUCUGCAUAAAUCAAAGUUUACAAGGUUAACUUUGUGUCUCCUGGUUAUGCAUGCCAUUGUAAUGCUGGUAAUCGGUGUCUGCAAUGGUCUUGUAGGAUAUUAUUCUGCAUGUUGGGUUAAGUGGUUCAUUUUGAUUAUUGUACAAUACUUGCUUCAAUAAGACAAUAUGCAUUAGUGCCUUGUGUAACCCUACUUGUUUAAAAGGAAGUAAUUGUUUUCCUGCAUACUAUAGACUGAUAAAUUUCAUAAUAUGGCUUUACCUGCCAAUCUGAAAAGUUCCUCAAGCGUAUCUGGUAGAUGUAUUGGCUUCCCGAAUGUAUCGUGCUCCAAUUGAAGUUCCUUUGGAUGAUACCCUUGGAUAAUUACCCGUACAGGGAACUUGCUAGAUAACAGAGUAGAUGUUUCAUGAGUUCCUGAAAACCGAGUUGUAGAUAUGGAUUACAAAUUUAGGCUUAGCGUACGAACUAUAAAUAGUGUUUCUCUUCUAUUUGCUUCUUAAGUUCUAUAAUGUUAACUUCUUGGAAAGCCAUUUUGACGUCCACUGUUAGCUUGUAGGCAGUCUAACCCAUAUCUUAAAGUUUCUAGGCAAGCACAAAGUUUCUCAAAUACCAACACAUAUUUUCUAGCUCAAACUCCUCCGAGCAUGCAUAUGCACAUGCUUGGAUUAAAGCCACACCCCAUUCCCAUUGUUGUAUCCUACCAAAUUAUCUUUCUUUAAUACCCAUAGAUACUAUCAAAUCUUGAGUUUACCUUCUGUACUUCCAUCUUUGGGGGAGUCUUGUGCUUGAGGAUCUUGAUCAUCAUUUGGGGUUCUUUCAUGUAGGAAGUUAACAGAUUGAUAGGAGAAACGAUCGAAUUUCAGAGAAUGAAGAAGCAGAGAAGAAAAUGUUGAAGCUUUGAAAAUGAUACUCGAUUUAUUCAGCUGGUUGGGUUUUAUACCAACCUCCAUGGUAAAAAGAACAGUAAAAACGAAAUUACAAACGCGGGUAAAAAUACGUGUCAUUAGUUCAUACAUCAACUUGGGAAAACAGACGGGAAAUGAAACUCUCUGUUUCAAUUAACUCGACUUCUCCUUUUAUUGACGUUGACUAACAGUCUUCCGAUUAACUUCGUUUGUUCUUCGCUACAUUGAACACCCUCCCACAAGUUGGAGAGUAUACAUCGUAAACUCCCAACUUGCCCAGAAGCAUUUGCAGACGAGUUCGAUGAAGAGCUUUGGUAAAAACAUCUGCAGGUUGAACCUCGGUUCCAAUGUGCUUCAAUCUAAUCACUCUUGAUUUGAUCAUUUCCCUCGUUACGUGACAAUCAAUUUCAAUGUGCUUAGUUCUCUCAUGAAACACUAGAUUCUCUGCUAUGUAAAUGGUCGACUUAUUGUCACAGUAGACCUCCAUGGGCAUAGGAACUGGAAUACCUAGCUUCUUUAUUAACUCCGACAUCCAUUGUAAUUCACACACCAAAUGUGCUAUAGAUCUGUACUCAACUUCAGACGAUGAUCUAGAAACAGUUCUCUGUUUCUUAGAUCUCCAGGUUAACGAUGAUCUAGAAACAGUUUCCUGUUUCUUAGAUCUCCAGGUUAUUAGGGAGUUCCCAAGAUAGGUGCAGUAACUAGAGAUUGACUUCCUGGUCUCUCGAUAAGCAGCCCAAUCGGAAUCACAAUAACUAGUCAAACUUAGGUCAUUCUUUGCCUUAUAUAUCAGUCCUUGUGUUGGAGAUGAUUUGAGAUACCUCAGAACACCAUGAGUAGCUUCCAAAUGUGCACUGUGAGGAUCAUUCUGAAACUGGAUGAGCUGUUGUACAACAAAUGUCAUGUCUGGCCUUGUUAUAGUCAAAUAGUGUAACCUUCCCACUAGAUUUCUAUACACUGAUGGAUUCACCAAAGGUUCCCCUUGUUUCACACUCAAUCUCAAGUUCACCACCAUAGGACUCUUGCUUCCUUUAGCUUCUAAAAACCCUGUAUUAGUAAGCAGUUCAACACAGUAUUUCCACUGGUGCAUCACAAUCCCUUCUUUUGAACGAGCUAUCAAGACCUAGAAAGUAUCUAAGCUCUCCCAAGUCUUUGAUUUUGAACUGUUUAUGUAAAUAAUCUUUCACCUCCUUAAUUCGUGAUAAAUCCUUUCCAGCAAGUAUUAUAUCAUCAACAUAAACCAACAAUAUAACCUUCGAUUCUCCAGCAUCUUUAACCAACAAUGAAUAAUCUGAAUUUGUCUGCUUAAAUCCAUGUUGCAGCAACGCAUUUGUGAGCUUAGCAAAUCACUGUCUGCUAGCUUGCUUUAAUUCAUACAAGGACUUUCUAAGUUUUAGACAUGUACCUGGUGGUGCUUCCAAUCUUACUGAUAUCUUCAGAUAGACUUCCUCAUUAAGAUCGCUAUGUAGGAAAGCAUUAGAAACAUCCAUUUGUUCCAAGUGCAGAUCUUGGGCUGCGGCAAUAACCAGCAAAGCUUUCACUGUAUUGAUCUUAGCUACAGGUGAAAAUGUAUCUAUAAAAUUGACACCUUGAAUUUGAUCAAAAUCCUGCGCAACCAAUCUUGCUUUGGGUUGUUCUACACUUCCAUCUGAUUUCAACUUCAAUUUGAACACCUAUUUUGUUCCAGGUUUAUGAAAAGCUUCUGAAUCUGGAACAACAUCCCAAGUGUGGUUUAAGAGCACCAAGUUCACUAUGAACUGCCACGUUCCAAUGUGGGUCUAUCAUGACUUCUUUAAAGCUUCUUGGUUCCUGUUGAAUCAUAACGCUCAAGGAAAAACCUUUAAAAUUAGCAGAAAGAUUGUUAUAUGAGAUCACAGAUGCAAGAGAGUGUUUAGCAACACUAGUAUUCAAAUGAUAGUCCUGCAGGUGUAUAUGUGGACGUUGUGAUUUAGUAGAAUGCCUGACAUCUAGCAGAACGGACUGCUUUUCCUCCCCUGCUGGAUGAAUCGCAGGAUCUUGAGACUCCACCUCAUCCUCAUUAUCAGAAAGAGAACCCUGCAGUUGGGAUGAAGGAUUAGUGACAGGUGAACUUGUAUCUAGAGGUACUGACACAUAAGGAUUAGAAGAACUAGGGAUACUGUUGGAAGGAUACUGAGGCGAUUUUUGAGACGAUGGGAUUGAUACAUCAACAUGGACAUUAUUGAGAGAAAGUAAAAUUUCUAACUCAAUGGGUAUAUCAGUAGACAAGAUGGCAUAUUUGAAAGGGAAAAUGUUUUCAUAGAAAACUAAAUCUCUAGAAAUGUAAAUUUAUGAUGUAGCAAGAUCAAGCAGUUUAUACCCUUUGAUAUGAGAAGGGAUACCUACGCUCUGUCUAGCACGAGGCUGAAAUUUAGUACGAUUAUGAGCUAAAGUAGCAGGAUAAACCAGACAACCAAACACUUUAACAACACUGAGAUUUGGAACUUGAUUAUAUAGCAUUUCAUUAGGAGUCUUGUUCUGGAUGGCAGAAGAGGGAGUUCAGUUUAUCAAAUACACGGAAUGAAGCAAAAAAUCACUCCAAUAGAUUAAGGGGAGACCCGAUUGAAACUGUACAGCUCUGGCAACGUUUAAAAUAUGCUGGUGUUUUCUCUCUACUUUGGCAUUUUGCUGUGGUGUUUGAACACAUGACAUUUCGUGAAUUAUUCCAUGCUCAUAAUCGAAUUCAGACAUAUGAAAUUCUUUUCCUUGAUCACUCCUUAUCAUUUUGACUUUGGUCUUAAAUUGAGUGUGUAUCAUGUUGCAGAAAGAUUGCAACAAAGCUCUUGCUUCAGAUUUAUAUUUCAUCAAAUAUAUCCAUACUCCACGUGAGUAAUCAUCAACGAUUGUUAGAAAAUAUAGGUAUCCAUCGUGUGAUUCAGUGGAUAAGGGACCCCAAAUGUCAACAUGAAUAAGUUCAGAGAUAGAAGUGACUAUAGUCUGACUGCUAUGGAAAGGAAGACGUUUAUGUUUAGAAAAAUGAUAGAUAGAACAAUGAUUGAGAGGUUCAGGAAAAAUAUUAUUGUUAUGACUACUUAGAAGUUUCAAUUUCUCAACACUGGGGUGUCCCAUUCGCCAAUGCCAGAGAUUGAUCUCCUAUGCUGGAAAUUGUGACUAAUAGCUACUUGUGAUCUGUAUGAAGAAGGCUGAUAGGAUUGAGUAGAUGAGAUGUGUAAGUAGGUUGGAGGUGGUAUAGUCCUCUAGUCUUAGUGGCUAAACCAAUCAUCUUGCCGUUUGUAAGAUCCUGAAGCUGGCAUUGUUUUUAUGGAAGAUCAGAGAAACAGGUAGACGAGAAGUCAUCUUACUAAUAGAGACUAGAUUGAACUGAAAUGUUGGCACGCACAGAACAUUAUGAAUCACUUGCCCAUGUGGAAGUCUAACACUACCAAUAUGGCUAACUGACAUGGGAGAGGAAUCAGGAAGAUAGACAUUGACUCCUACGACUGGUUUGUAAUUGAUGAAAUGUUUUAGGAAACAGGUUAUGUGGCCAGAAGCUCCAGUAUUAAAAUCCACAAGUCAGCUAAAUCAAGACAUGAACCAGCAGACAAAGUAAACUUACCUGAGUCAUUUGGAAGAGCUGGAAUCCCUGAUCUUGGCAUAGCGGCUUUGGACUGGUGAACCGCUUGUAGUAGUUCUUUGAGCUGAGUCAAUUUGACAUUUGUUAGAGAGAGAGCAGCUGCCACUGUAGGAGUCGCCUAUUGUUGAUCAACUGCUCCAACAAAACGAUUUGGAGAUGAUGUGUUGUCUGAACUUUGUGCAUUUUGUUCUUGUUGUUUCUUCCACUUCCACUUUCUACAUUCAUCAAGUAUGUAUCCCUCCUUUUUAAAAUAUCUACUAAACUUCUUUCCAGCCUGAGUAUAAUCUCUGGAAUUUCCAGUAUUUGCUACCAUAACCAGCCUUGCAUCAACAUUGGAUGGCACUGCAGAUGCUACAGUCUUUGCAUGAUUGUCCCUUCCAAUUACCAUACCACCUUUCAGCUUCUCUUCGUGUUGAAGAGCAUGAUCAUAUGCAGAAUUAACUGUUGGUAAUGGAGUCAUCAUAAGAAAUUGAGUUCUGACAACAUCAAAGUCUUCAUUUAGCCCUCUAAGGAAACGAAUCAGAUAAUUUAUAUCCUGCUUCUCCUGAAAAGCAACUAUUGCAGCACAAGGCAAAAUACUAGCUGAGAAUUGAUUGUACUCCUCCCAAAAGUCCUUUAAUCACUAUGUAAUACUGGGUGACUGACAUCUGACACUGCUUACAUCCAUGUAUUUCAUCCUGCAAAUUAGCCAAUUUCAAAGCAUUUGCCUGUCCAAACCGGCGUUUAAGCUCUUGCCAGAGUAUUUGAGCAUUUUCAUGAUUCAGUUCAGUUCUACGAAUCUCUGGAUGUAACGAAUUCGCAAUCCAAUGAAGCACCAUAGUGUUGCAGGCAUCCCAAAGAGAAUAUCGAUCACUAGAAAGAGUAGGUGGAACUAUAGAUCCGUCAAUGAAUCUGACCUUAUGCUUUGUUUUCAAUGCAAAUCUUACAAAUCUACUCCACAUUUGGUAAUUGGAUCCAUCUAAGACUGUAUUGACUAUGGAUUGGAAUAGAUUUUCAUUAGGAUUUAGGUAGUAAGGAUUACCAAAGGUUAGAUUGAUAGAGUUUGUUGACGAAGAAUCAUUGUUGCGAUGAGUGUUCCCGAUGGAUCCAAAAAUGAAUCCUGGAGUGUGUUGAUGAUUUGGUUGUUCAUCAUCUUCAUCAUCAUCAUCAUGACUUUGAGUCAUCGUCGAAUUUCAGAUCGUCGGAAGAGGCUCUGAUACUAUAACAGAUUGAUCGGAGAAACGAUCAAAUUUCAGGGAAUGAAGAAGCAAAGAAGAAAAUAUAUCAAUUUGGGAAAACAUACGGGAAAUGAAACGUUAUUGUAAACCCGAGAUCUGGUAUCUAGAUCAAGAAAUCUUUUUUGUUUUUCAUUUUUUAGAAAUUCUCUUCUCAUAUGAAAAUACUCAGAGGUGUCAUACCUCUAAAUCCAUUUCUGCUAGCGACUGGGUCAGAAAAGGCAGAAUUGGUUGCUUCAUUUUGAUCUUUAUGAAAUACACGUACGUCGUUUCAUAAAAGAAAGGCUUUUGAGAAAUUUUAAUUUAAAAUAAUUCUUAACUAAUUAGAAAUUGGUUACUUAGUUAUUUAAUUACUUGGAAUUAGAUUAAAUAUUGUACCUAGAAAUUCUGACAUAGUGAAAACAUAAAAUUGCCAGUUGACUCUUAAAACCGCAUCAACUUCCUCUUUCCGAUCUCCUCGACGCUAGGGUUUUCAUCUCUUCUCUCCGUGGGACUUGCACGGUCGUUUGGUAGGCUUUUCUCGGUGCCUAUUGUUGUUUCUACUCUCGAAGAUUCUCUCUCUAUGGUGAUCCUCACAUGGAAUUAUUGGGGGUUGGCAGUCCUCAAGCAAUCUGGGUGGUGAAAGACCUCAUACGUACCCAUCGACAGGAUAUUGUGGUGCUUAUUGAGACCUUCUCAACUAAGCAAACCAUGGAAGACCUAUGUGUGGACGUGGGAUUCGAUGGGUGUUUUGUGAUAGAGGCUAUUGGUCACAGUAGAGUGAUGGCGAUUAGGUGGAGAUACACUUCUCUCUAUACACUGAUUAACUUCUGCAGAUACUAUCAAUAUGCACGUCGACAAAGGGGGUGAAACCGAUACAUGUUGACUGGAUUCUAUGGCAUUCCGGACUGAGCUUGAUGCCAAGAGUCUUGGGACCUUUUAGGUUCACUGGCUAUAGGACCACCAGGUGAACCAUUGCUGUGCGUUGGCGAUUUCAAUGCUAAUUCUUGCGUCAGAAAAAGGUGCUACGCGCGCACCCACCUUAACCCAUAUCCGGAUUCUAAUCGACGAUGGAAGAUUGCAACUUGCAUGACUUACCAUCCAUUCGUCACCCCUUUACGUGGUCGAAAUCUCUCGGUUUGUCGCAUGCAGUGGAGAAAAGGUUGAAUAGAGCGUUAGCUAUGGAGGCGUUCCUCGUGUGAUACUCGCGGAUUGAGCUUCAUAACAACUUGGCACCAGGAUCAGUCCACGCCCCCAUUGGUACUUAUAACAGAUAUAGGACCUUAACCAUUCCAACGAUAUAGUUUCAGGUUUGAGAAUCUAUGGAGAAAGAAAGAAGGAUUAUGACCGUGUGUAGUGGGGACUUGGGAAGCAACAACAGACAAGGACCUCGAAAGUAGACUAACAACAUGCGUUCAAGUGAUGAUGGCCUGGGUAAAGCACGAACAACAAAAAUACAAAAAGAAAAUUCGAUAAAAGCAUGGCUAGCUAGAGGUUUUGCGAUCAUUGACCCUACCCCGGACACACAAACUUUACACCAAGCUCGUACAUAAUACAUAGAUUUACUACAUGAUGAGAACGCUUUCUGGAGAGAACAUGCAAAGCAAGAUUGGGCCAAAGGCGGUGAUAGAAAUCCAAGCUUCUUUCAUGCCGUGGCCGCUGGUAUACAACAUCGCAAAAGGAUUAGGGGGUUAACAAAUGCGCAUGGCAAGCUUAUGGAGAACGGUAGUUUGAUGGGUAAUAUUGUAGUGACAUACUUCGAAACUCUAUUCACAUCCCGAGGUUGCAAGUUUGAGAAUGUAAUACAAUGCAUCCCACUUAUGGUAACAUCGAACUAAAAUGAGAUGCUCAAAAAGCCGUCUACAAUGUUGGAAUUUAAACAUGUAAUUUUUGCUAUGAGACCUAACAAAGCUGAAUGACCUUGUGAAUUUAACCCGUACUUCUACCAGGAGUUUUGGGACAUUGUGAGUCUAACCAUUAUGCAUGAUUGCUUCAUGUGGCUGCAUCAAAACCGACACAAGAAACCAACAUUAUCCUCCUUCCCGAAGUUCCUAAUCCUAAUCGGAUGUAGGAUCUACGCUUAUCUCUUUGAGGUCGUUUGUGCGGGUGAAUUCGUAGGAAGAGAAUUCAAAUAGCUAAAGAAUUCAAAUAGCUAGAGAAUAUGAGGGUCAUGCUAUUUCAAGAAAUAGAAUGUUUGGUUGUGUCAUUUUAGGUGAUUGUUGGGACUAGAGAAUUCAAAAAUUAAAUGAAAUGGAAUGAAUUCUCCCAAAAUCCCCUUCCUAACCUAGUGAUUUCAAUAUGAGCUCAAAAUCUCUUGGGUCCCACAUCAAGAAUUCAAAUCUCUAACAUUCUCUCAUAAUUAAUUGUGAUCCAAACAAUCUAUUUGACAAAAUCUCUAACUUAGAGAUUUUAGAGACCAAAUCACCUAAAAUCACUCAAAACAAUCACUUGCACAAACAACCUCUUUAUGUAAUGUACACUACCGCAUACUGGCUAAGGUCUUGGCAAACCGACUUUGAUGUGUGCUACCAUCUAUUAUACGAGAAGAACAGUCAGUGUUUAUUCAGGGUUGCCCAAUUGUGGAUAAUAUUCUGAUCGGCUUUGAAUCCCUACAUAGCAUCACCACGAAAUCACCUACUAAGGUGGGCAACAUGCUUUGAAAGUUUAUAUUUCUAGGGCAUAUGGCCAAGUAGAAUCAAAUUAUAUGGAAGCAGUGUUGGAACAAAUGGGAUUUUCAAUGGUGUGGACCCAACGGAUGUUGCUUUGCAUCUGGUUGGUUCGAUAUUCGAUGAUGGUGAACGGUCAACGUUUUGGAAAGUUUCAGCCUAACCAUGGCUUACGUCUAGGGUAUCCAUUAUCGUCUUUUCUCUUUUUGCAAUGUACACAAGGUCUCCCAGCCAUGAUUAUGUGAGCGUCUAGACAGGGUCAUCUACAUGGAUACAGGGUGUGCUAGAAAGCACUUUUGAUCUCACAUUUGUUAUUUGCCGAUGACUCGGUGUUUUUUUUCCGACGCAAUUGCAAGAGGCUCGUGUCAUGACCUCUAUUUAAGCUGAAUAUGCGGAAGUGUCUAGGCAGUUGCUUAAUUUUGACAAGUCGGGAAUACAUUUAGUAAGAAGCUAGAUCCGAUAAUGUAUCGAUGAUGUCUAGUAUCCUUACUGUUUGGUCAAAGUUCGACACGGACGGGUACCUAGGGGUUCAGACAUUGGUGGGCCGAAAUCGAGACGAAGAAUUCAAGAAUUUUCAAGAGAGAGUUGGAAAACGCCUCUAAUCAUGACAAGGCAAGAAGUUCUCAAUAGGCGGCAAAGAAGUGCUUAUUUAGGCGGUGGUGCAAGCCUUACCAACUUACAAUAUGAAUGUCUUUUUAUUACAGGAUCAACUCAGGGAAGAGCUGGAGCAGAUGAUGAAUUCCUUUUGGCGAGGAUUGAAACGUACAACAUGCAGUGGUAUCCCUUGGAUGAAAUGGGAAAGAUUGACUAUUCAAAAAGAACACGGGGGCAUGGGGUUAUAAGACUUGAGAAGUUUCAAUACAUGGCGACUCCAAACCACACCUACAGACUUGGUGUCAUGUCUGUAUUACGAUUAAUACUAUCAAUUUGGUGACCUCCUCUCGACUGAACCUGGACCCCACCCCAAUUAAGUGUGUAGAAGUCUGUGGAAUUCCAAACCGUUACUUAAGCUUGGAGAAAUGUAGCGCAUCGGGAACGGUAAAGAGGUUAUUGUCUGGAUGGAACCUUGGCUGAAGGAUAAUGUCAAUCGGCACCUUCAAACUGGUUUUGAUCCCUCUCGGGCGGAUCUGAAGGUUUGUGAUCUUAUCGACUCAAAUUCUCAUUCAUGGAACGUGCAGCUGGUUGCAUAGGGGUUUAUGCCUCGCGAUGUACAAAUCCCUGCUAUACUUGUUUUUGUGGCAUUCAAGGAAGAUAAAAGGAUGUUACUUUAGUAAAACGAGAUAUAGAUUUGAACUUCUUAGUACCACAGAAAAUUUUGAAAAAGCUAAAUAGAUGAAAAUGAAAUGCUUUGAAGCUCUCGAAAUAAUUUUGUUCUUCUCUCCGAUGGAAGCGAGGCUUCACGUGAGAUAGUCUGGCUGUGGGUGUGCUCUAGUUCGUGGAUCUCGAGUCGAUCUCUCCGGUAAGGAUACUAGGUAUCUUAGCAACUCUUCCAUUCAUGUUUCAUGCAUUUCUUUUCCUUGUGGAUGUUAUCUGCGUCUACUUCUCACAGAUCCUCAUCUGAGGCUUCCGUAUCAUUGUCGACUGGUUUAGCUAUGGGUGUGCUCUGGUAGAGGAUUCUGGAGGUGCUCGAUUAGACGGCGGCCGCCUGGUAUGCUCCACGUAUGUUGAUUCGGUUGGUUUCGAGUUUCCUUGAGUGCGAUGGGAGCGGUUCUAGCUGGUUUGAAGCCAUAUUGGGUAGACCUUUUUGGCAUUGCUGUUCUGAAUAAAGUUUAUUUUGUGCAGCCAAAUCUGGUGGAUGGAGUGCUUCAUAUCCUUGCGGAUAUUGAAUAUGAAGGAAUCGCUAGGUGGAGAGAUACAAUUGUAGGAAAAUUCCAUGGUAUGAUGAAACUCUGGGGCAGUGAUGGGGAGAUCACUCUUUUUUAGUAUGGUACCGAGCUUUUCAUCUUCCAAUAUCCCCUAGCAAAGACUGCGAUUAAGUGGUGUUCUUGCGUUGAUGGACCCCUGAUAUCAGCCAACUAGUGAUGGAGGCUAAGGAAAUAACAUUACCUAUCUCGGUCGAGCUUCACGGGGUCCCCAUACAAUUCUAUUCCACUAAAGGGUUAAGUAGGAUCACUAGCCUUCGUGGUGCACCAUUGGGAAUUACACUGGCUACUCAGCAAGGUACUCAACUUGGAUUUGCAACGGUUUGUGUGGAGAUCAGUCCAGAAACUAAGUUCCCUAGCUUUGUGUCCCUAGCUUCUCGGUGGUGUCCUUUAACUGAAAUUGGAGUUGAGCAUUAUAACCAGAGGUGUGCAAGUUGCAUAAAUAAUCUAGAUAUGGCUCUGGUACCGUUGAGGAUAUCGCAGCUGGUAUGAAACCUAACUCCUAUGAGAUUCCUUAUGUGGAAGUGUAUGUGCCUAUUGCUGAUUGUGAAAUAUGUCCCUAGAUGACCCGAUGGAACCACACGAUUCGACCCAUGCAUUACUUAUGGGUUUCACUCUUUACAUAAAUAGCAUAACAUACAUAUGAAAUAACUGCACCGCAUAACCUCAUAGCAUAAGUAAAAAUAGCGGAAAUGAAAACAGAGCAUCAAAGGCUUGAAUUCAGGACUAAUACGACAAUGAAAAACAUCCCAAAUGAGGAACCCGACAUCCAGAUAUUAGUCUAUCAAAACAACUGAAAAACAUAGAAAUGUUUGAGAACAUGAAAAACAAUGAAAAUGGGUAAUCGAGGUCCUUCAAGGUACCUCUCCCUAUGACUCCUAGAGCCACUCGUUCGAGGUGUCACUACUCGUGAUGCUCUCUUAGGCGGCAUGUGCUCCUGGGGUUCAAUAGGUGAUCAUACAAGUUGAAAAAGAGACAAGGUCAGCGAUAAGCACUGAGUGACUAAGCUUGAAAUGGGAAGAACUGAACUAACAUUUUAGUAAGGUGAUCUUGUGGUCCUGUAGGUAUCAUCAUAAAUUCAGCCACCCAUAACUGAGAGUAAACAACCUCAUGGUGGACAAGAGCAUGAAACCAACAUAUAUAACAUGAGAGCAACACUGAAGGCUUACUCAUCACAUCUUGCCUGAACCUGAAUGUAACCUGGGCGAUUGUGCAAUCAAAAGGUGGGUGACCAACAUGUAACAGAAGCUAAUCUAGCUUAACCUGAAACAUAUCAUAACUUACACAGUGAAUCACAUGCACAAUUUAUCAUUGUGAGCAUAAGCUCAAAAUAACAAAUGUCCAUGCACCUAGGAGCCUGGUUGCAAAACAUAACACAUGUACAGUAGAUCGCACUCACUUGUACGCUCUAAACACCCAACUCUGAAAACCUUUCUCGGAAGAGUCUAAUCUGAAGCAGCCUCCCUAGAGCUCAACCACCUGAUCCGUAUGACAUGUAGAGAUCAAUUGAAGGAUUGAAAUCCUAAAACCCCAAAUCCUAACUUGUCUGGAUUUUCAGACGUAGGAUCGAAAACAAAGGAUUGAGAAAGGAGGAGGAAGGUAGAUUACCUUCUGAAACUUCUUCAAUGAUCUCCAAGGCUCUCCUAUUAAGUUGCGAUUGAUCAACUUUGUCCUCUCCUUUGCCUAAAAUCAAUCGCCGUCGUCAGAGGAAAUUCUAGAGUAGGUGUCUGAAAAUUUGAGUUAUGCAAGUCGCGACUCAGUUUAUAUAAUAGGUCGAUUACGCUUGUGGUCGACUUACCGCCACGUUUGUAGUGGCAUGGGAACCACGCCCUUGACUCAUUGAUGGUCACGGUCAUGAUUCCACUCUGGUCAUGAUUGUGACUAAUACUGACAACGGAUGUGAUCUGUCUACGACCACGCCCGUGACGGUCCGUCCAUCAGUCGAUUCUCAGAAUUAACAGAACCCAGAUUUAAACCCAUAAUUAAACGUUAACCAAACAUUAGGGUGUCACAACUCUCCCCUCCUAUAAAAGAUUUCAUCUCGAAACCUGAAUGUAAAAACUUAACACGGGGAAAGAAAUUACCAACUAGGUAGUCCUUCACAACUUUCGGGUAGCGCUCCUGCAUGCUAGCCUUGGAUUCCCAUGUCACAGCAUCAACAUCCUGAUUCUGCCAAAUCACCUUCAGCAUAGGCAUCUCCUUGCUCCUCAGCUUGCGGACCUUCCUAUCCACAAUCUGAGUUGGCUGCUUUACAAAGGUCAAGUCUCUCUCCAACUGAACCUCAUCUUGAUGGAUCACAUGAUCCGGCCUACCAAUGUAAGACCAAAGCACACUCACAUAGUAUACAUUAUGUAUCUGAUCCAACUCAGCAGGUAAGGUCAGCUCAUAAGAAGCCACGGGCCCAAUCUUCUAAAUAAUAUCGUAGGGAUCAAUGAACUGGGGAGCCUAUUUUCCCUUCCUGCCAAACCGCAUCCCUCCCUUACAAGGAGAUACUCGAAGGAAGACCUUCUCCCCUUCCUCAAAGCUAAGUUCUCUCCCCUUCCUGUCUGCAUAUUGCUUAUGUUGAUUAUGAGCACACUCAGUUGUACUCGAAUCACUCUCCUGAACCAUCUGCGGUCCAGUCAAAAAAUUUUCUCCCUCCCCAUUCUAGAAAAGAGGGGUCCUAUACUUCCUGUCAUAUAGGGCCUCAAAUGGACCUACUCUGCUACUGUGAUGGUAAGAGUUAUUAUAAGAAAACUCCACCAUCGGUAGAACCUUCAACCAAGGUUCAUCAAACUCUAAUUCAUAUGAGUGAAGUAGCUCCUCCAAGGUUAGAAUGGUCUGUUCCGACUGACAAUAUGUCUAUGGGUGAUAUGUGGUAGAGAAAUUCAGCUUUGUCCCUAAGGCUACAUGUAAGCCCUUCUAGAAAUGCGAAGUGAAACCCCCAGCAAUUGACAAGGUGAGUACUAGUGCGGUGGUGAGCCUUUUAUUCAGCAUCCCAAAACUUUCGUGGCAUGCCUUCCUCCAAAAAAUGGUGUGUCCUUCGAGGUGAGCUUGUGGAGUGGUCUUGCUAUCUUAGAGAACCCCUUUAAAAACUUCUUGUAGUAUUCGGCCAUGCCCAUAAAACUCGGACAGAGAUUUCAGAGCAACUAAAGGAAACUUCAAGGAGCUCAAAAUCGGGGAAGUAAUCAAGACGGCUAAUAAAGUUCUUCGGGAAGAUUAGCAAAAUUAGAUUUUCAUAAUUCAUUGUGUAAACCUAGAUUCAAUUUCUUCCUCUUCCGAUUUUUAUUUAUCUCUUCAGAUUAUGAGCAGCUAAACUUCUCUUUCUUAGAUUAGAUGAACCCUAGGUUAAUUCCUAUGAUCGAAUUAUUAAAUACAUUUGACGAUUUAUGCGAGUUGGAUGGAUUUCAUUGCAUAUUUGAUUUUAUUUUCGAUUUGUUCUUGCUUGAUCAACUUGAAUGAAUCUCUGUUAGAUUUGUAUUAGACUCUAAAGAGUUUUCAUGUCUAGAACGCAGAAAUCAAAUAACUAGGUUAGACGUGAACCCCUCAUCCGGGAGCGAAUGAACUAGUCUAUCGUGUGAGAAAUUCUAAAUCGGUAAAUCGACCUAGCAGGUUUUAGAUUUUUACCUCGAAAGAGCGGACUAGAAUACUAGAUAGGUAGAAAAUUAGCAGACCCGAAAAGGUGUGAUUUGAUUAGAGAAGAAUUGCGACACUGUAAUGCAUCUAUCCUAUUUCGUUAAAUUCAUGAAAUUUGUCUGUCAUUUGUGAAUUAGAAUUGCCCAGGGGAAUUCAAAAUCUAAGCAAUUUUCAUUUUUCUUUUUGACUGUUUGAUUGAUCCUCGUGGCACCUAAACUGCACUACUUCUUAAUUCGAUUGAUAUUAAUUACAACAUUCAGUAAGAUACUAAAAGAGACCCUAGGGAGAUUCGACUCUAGUUAAUUUAUUAACUAGGUUUAUUUUGAGACGAGUAAAAACCGUUCAUCAGUCAUCAAUGAAUACUAUAACAAAUUUGUCUAAGUACCCAUGAAACACCUUGUUCAUCAUUGUCGUGAAGGUUGUAGGUGCAUUAGUCAACCCGAUUGGCAUCAUUAGGAACUCAUAAUGACCAUAUCUGGAUUGGAAUGCUAUCUUAGGAACAACUUCCUCUGCUACCUUCAAUUGAUGGUACCCUAAGCUCAAGUCAAUCUUAGAGAACACAGAUUCUCCCUGAAGCUGGUAAAACAGAUCAUCAAUGCGAGGCAGAGGAUAUUUUUUCUUCACCGUCACCUGAUUCAGCCUCCUAUAAUCUAUGCACAUCCACAUGGAUCCAUCCUUCUUCUUCAUGAACAAUGUUGGCGCACCCCAGGGCGACACGCUAGAGAGGAUGAAACCCUUCUCUAACAGCUCUUUGAGCUCCUUCAACUCCACCGGCGCCAGGGGUAGGGUGUUAUGGAUAUAGGUGAUGUGCUUGGCACCUGCUCUAUAUCGAAAGCCACCUCCCGCUCAAAGGGCACCUCCCGCAGGUCAUAUGGGAAGACAUCAGGAAACUCCUGAACCACGGUGUCCCUCUACAUCAAGGAGGAUAUGAGCUAGGAAAGCCUUGCACGCACUUCUGAUCAAUCUCUCUGCCUUCAAAGUCUUCCCUACUAGGUGACUAACUCUAAACGGUCUAAUCAUCAUAGUAGGCAUGAAGGGAAAAAUAUGAAGUGUUUGAAGUGCCAUGAUGUGAUGGGUAAAAGUAGGUUAACAAGCAAGUGUUGGAAGCGCGCCUUAAAGUUAAUGAAGGAGAGCAUUAAACACUGUCCCUAAACAAUUUUAGUGAGAGUAUCUCCACUUCAUUUUUAAAUCAAGUCCCUUUAAGAGGAAGUCUAAAUGGGUGGUAUAACAUGCAUGAUGAUGUGUGGCGAGUUGAGGAACUUCUUCUGAGGUCGGCCUUUCCUUCCUAGGUUAAUUAUGUUUAAAGGUUUGCUUGGUUGUUAAGUGAUUUAGAGGUACCUUCAGGAAUAUGGAUUCACUAAGAUUACGCCAAGUAUUUUGAAUCAAUUGUAGAUGUUUCCUUGGAUUUUACCAGCUUUUUGCUUGAAAACAAGCAAGACUUAAGUGUCGAAUUAUUUGAUGACGCUCGAUUCACCGUAUUCAUCAUCCUCAUUUAUCCGACAUUCCAUACAUUUUUGUAUAGUUUUUGUAGAAGUUUAGGGUGUUUCUUUCAUUUUAAACUUCUAUUGCAUUUUAUGUCUCAGACCCGUUCAGGGUCCAUUUGAUGAAAAAAUUAGCCUUUUUAUAGGGGAGGUAGAUCUGAGUUUUUUUCCUUUUUUUGUUACCGUUGAGUGGGAGGUGGCGCGGCGCCGCUACCGCCGCCGCUAUGAUGCUCAUUGACACAUAGGAGGAGAAGAAGAGGAAGAAAAAAAGAGAGAGGGAGAGAAGACCGACGGUGGCGCAACUGGUACCGCCGACGCCAACGAAUGAGGGAAGGAAACGGAGGAGGAGAAGAGGAGGAGAAGAAGGAGGAGAAGGAGAGGAGAACAAGAGGAAAAAAGAGAGAGGGCAAGAGGAGCGGCGGCGCCGCCGCUGCCACCGCCGCCGGAAGAAUGGAGGAAGCAUAGGAGGAGAAGAACGAGGAGAUGGGGAGCAGAAGAAGAGGAUGAGAAGAAGGACAGGAGGGAAGGCAGAGCGUUUUGAGAGAUGGUGUGGGAAGAGAGAGAGGGGUGAAGAAAUGGGCGGUUUUCGAUUUAAGAGGGCCUUUUAUACGGCCGAUUAGGGUUAGAGUGAGUUUACGGUCUUCCUUCUUCAACGAGCGGACCAGACAUGGGCAUUUUUGUCUUUUCGGGUGUCGGAUCGAACCCUAUGUAACCAGUUCGGCCAGUUCAGCGCGUGGACUCGACCCCCUUGUUCGCCAUUUCGGCCCAAUUUUCCGGCUGGACCCAGCUUGAGCUAGGGACGAAUUUAGUAAGAAGGCCAAGCACCUUAGUGUGUUGUUUAGAUUAAUUUUUUUUAUUAAGCUCGGAUUAAGAAUAGAAUAAAACUAAAAUAGGUGUAGAAUAAUAACAAAAUGAAAAUCCUAACUUCUUUAUUUCUAUUUGGCAUUUAGGAGUUAAGGUCGAAAACUCAGAAAACCAGAACCUUUCGAUUAUUUAAAUCGACGUAACAUUUUAAUUAACGUUAACACAAUCACCAUAGAAUGAUCAAAUCACCAUAAAUAUUUGUGACGUACUUAUUUAAAUUAUGUCAAAUCAAGUUAAUUGAUAUAAACCAACUAAUUUGUCAUUUGGCAAGGAAUGUGAAAGUUCCUUAAAUAGUAACCCUUUAAAAAUAUUAUAACAACAUUAUACGAAUCUCGUAUCCGUAACAAGAGUUUUGGAUUUUACUAAAUUAUCAGUUAAUCAAAAGUGGAACAAAUAAGUGUCCAAAUUACGAAGCAUUACAAAUCAUUACAAAUCAUUACUACUUCUCCAAACUUUAUAAAUAACAAUAAUCCGUUUACGAAUCAAGAGGUUCGUAAGUAAGAACAUUAAAACGUGUAUUCCUCAUCCAUCAAUCAACAUAUCGGCACCAUCGGUUUUGGAAUACCGAAACACGAGGGAAUGGCAUCAUCGGUUUCAGAAUACCGAAUCACGAGGGUACUCUUUCUAAAAAUCCUAUCAUCAAAAUAAUCAAAUAAAUGUCUUUUAAAUAAAUAAACGAGCAUGGUAACGUGGCUUUUACAAUAGUCAAAAUCACACAAAAUCCUCGUCAACUUUUUCAAGCAAGCUAUGUGGACUUUGAUCCCAAAGGAUUGGGUACGUAGGCAGUCAUAAGACUCUAGUCCAAACAAUUAAAUAAAAAAUAUUGAUCUGAAAAUAUUUACUUAUACAAAACAAAAUCUCCACAAGAAUAGAAAUUCGUGAAAUCUUACAAAUAAAAUAAAUGUCAUAUUUCCUAACAAUUUCCUAAAUAAAUGCCAUAUUCAAACUAAAACAUAAUUAAGCCACUAGACUAAAGAAAUAAGGCAUAACUUAUCAAAUUUCGCAGUACCGAUUUACAGGUGUUGCGAGGGUGCUAAUCCUUCCUCGCACGUAACUGCCUCCCGAAUCCAAGGUCUCUGUUCCGCAGACCUAAUCUAACUCGUAUUCAGAAGGACCUGGGUUAUAUCGAAAGCGUCCAAUCCGCUUCAAAAAGAUUGGUGGCGACUCCAAACCAUCAGGUCACCGGUGCCGUGAAUAGAAACGUUCACGAUAGAUGACGACUCUGCUAGGACCUCUAGGAACUCUCUGAAGGAGGCUAACUACAAAAAUAAAGAUCUCGAUAAGUUUGGGUGCUUACUUUCUUUGAAGUGGCUUUACUGUCUUUAUAUGCGCUAUUUAAUUUCUAGUACUCAUGCAUAUGCACGCUCGAUACCCGAGCAUCGCCCUUAGGUAGAAUUUUGAGUGAAGUAGUGUUUGCCUUUAUAAUAGUAAGGGCACGUGAACCAUCAUCCCAGUAUUGAUUCAUACCAGGAUUAGCUAUAUUCACUUGAUGUAGUAUACCUAGAAGCCUCCCUCGGCCUACCUAGGAUAGAUCCUCGUGAAGCCCGUUCGACAGCUCAUAACCUAGAAAAGCCUGGAGAUAGGGAAUUUAUAUGAUUUAGUGUAAUAAUAUUACUCAACUUGCAUGUUUUCUCUUGGCUCUAUUUUGUAAUUAUUAUUAAACAUGUGCAUAUCACACAUUUUUAUAAAAAAAUCAAGGUUUGUUGCACGCGACUAAUCCCUAGAUUUACAUGCCCUUUGUCCUUAGAUGAAUGUGUUUGGCGAACUUGAGUCCUUCUAGGCGCUCCUCCUAAUGUCCCUGCAAAGGGAGAUCAUGUAAUGGACACUCCCCAAAAGAAACGCAUUCAUGGUUGAGGCCAUGAGGAUGAUUACACAACUUAGAAGUGGACGAAUGGGCCAUGAGGCCCGAUCCGACAUCUUGAUUGACAUCUGUGCAACAUGGGUAUGAACAUCUUCUUCAUCCCGCCGCACUGCUACGACUCCUUCCCAGCUACAGCCCGUCUCCUAUUGGCAUUCAUGGUAAGGAACGGGACCAUAGGGGUAGUAUUUCACAUGAAAAAACUGGCAGCUUGUGUCGCCAAAUGGGAGGCCGAUUCUGAGAUAGUCACCCGUCUUGGUAGUUGGCUUGGUAGCUUCUUAACAGUAAGUGAGUGGAAUACACUCCUACAACACGAGUGGCCGAGGGAAUACAUGUUGUUCACAUUUCACAUGGAACAGGUUACCAAUUACUAGGAGGAUGAGCUGGUUGUGAUGGAAAGAAGGCACGUUCUCUUUGAGGGUUCUUGGCCGACCCCGUUUGUUGGGUUGAAAUAAAAUGACUGUUAAUGGUCCUGAACAAUAUAAAACAUGACCGAAUCUCGACCGUCCUACAGUCAGCCGACAACUACUACUGUCAUGGCAGAAUCAAAGAAAGCACUAGGAUUCUCUCGGACAUACAGAUCGAGAACACCUUCUACCUCGAGGCAGAAUAUAACCAGACAGUCUUCAGGGAUGUCAACUUCAAGAGAAGCUUUGGGAUACCAUUGUACGGAGCCGAUUCAUUCAUGAGAAAUGGGUACGGUAGUGGCUAGAGAUCCGAACUAGUAUAGCAAAGGUUCUUCCCAAAUUUGUAUGUAUCGUGGAAGAACCUUGUUAGGACCUAGACGGGUAGCGCGUGCGUAGUGUAGUAGUUCAAAGUAGAUAAGACGGUACCUGUUUUGAGGUUUUAGCCAAAUACCGCAAUUUUGUAAUAGUAAUAGGGUAAACCACGACGCACACGCAUGGUAGCAUAGGUCAAACUCUCGGCAUCGCCUAUGAAUUUUGGGGUGCAUAAGUAAAAGUUUAUAAUAUUAAUGGAUUAAGCAUCCUUCUAAUUUCUACUAAUGACUCAAUGCAUGAUUCACGGAUUUAGUUACAGGCAAUAAAACUUUACGUUCGCCUUGUUUCUUUAAAACUUAUUUUACAUUUACUGAUGUUCGGUCAAUAUGUUAGGUAUCAUCAUCACAAUGCACAUGUUUUAUAACGUAGUUUCAUCUUGUAAAGUAUGGCAAGAUUCAUAGACACUGUUGAUGAGGAGGAAUAUGUUAUGUGGUCAGCACAACGACAAAGUGAAGCAUGCGGCGAUGAACCACUGUUCAGUAACCUGGCCCCAAACCUGCCAAACUGUCGUAUUACGGUACCAGUGUACGAAACGAUGUGUUAACAUGCAUUGGGUCAAUGUUCACAGAUGAAGAGAAAGUGUUAUUUGGUAAGAGAUAUGGAUGUCUGUUCGAUAUGAUCAACACCCCAUUCCCGGGAUUUGUGAUGCUAGAACUCCUAAAUUAUUGGGAUUGACAGUUUCAUUUCCCACAAUCAAUGACAUAGAUAUUUUUCCAUUAGCUUAGGAAUAUGGAUCAAUCCUCUGUCUCAGGGAUCUCCCACUUGGCAAGGUGUACGCAACUCAAUCUAAACCCAAGGUCGGGAAGUCACUGUAUCACAUCUUAGGGGUGAUGAAAGAUAAGCUAAAGGAUCAAAUUCAAGUUGGGACAACUUCGAGUAUUUACCUAUUAGAUACUUACUAGGAUACAUCCGCAACAGGAGUACAACACGUCAUGGGAGAGUCAGCGGUUUCACACUAAUCUUUUAUGGGGUAGUGUUGUAUCCCGGCGCGAUACACUUCAUUAGUGGAAACGCCAUCAGAGCUUUCGUGGCAGAUGACCACAAAGAAAACCCCACGUACGCAAUCCGGGCGAAAACUUUCAUAGCUCUUGAUAGUUGUUACCAACUAGCCGAGGAAACUCUACAACAGUGCUUCCUUGUUAGUCACAUGGAUCUUUGGGCAUUGAAGCCAUCACUGGAGCUGGGAAUACCUAAUGUCCGGUACAACAAAGAUUUCCAUGGAUUGACCAGCACGAUUAACGAGUUCACCCAGGCUAGAGGAGGGUACGAGAAUGCCACACAAAGCUAGUGGGAAAGGUAUUUUGCCACCUUCCAGGAAAUUAAGCUCAAUUUGAAAGCCCCACGGAGGACAACAUGGAUGUGCUAUAUAGAUGUGGGGAUAAUCCUUGGGUCCCUCUGCUAGGACCAAGGCGUUGCGCAGCAUAUGCUCCUACCGUGUUCAGAAGACAAAUGAGAUGCCUGCAAUUCAUACCAAAUACGAAAGGGAUAGGGGAAGCUAAUGGCGACCACAAAACCAAGGUAGAAGCACCGCUCAUGAGCUGGGAAAGGCAAAAAGGAUCGACUGCAUGCUAAGUUGCACAGAAACGAAGGAUAUCCACGACCGAGUGACUGAUGAUUAUCCUGAAUGGCAAGAGGUUCGUGGGGGCAGGCGAUCCACAAGAUUCCCAAAGGGAGGGCGCAAAAGGAGAAUGGGUGCGUCUAGUUCUCGAAAUAUCGGAGUCGGUAUAGAAGAGUAUGAUGAGUUGAAGGAUAGGUUUGAAGACCUUCAAAUCAACAUUCACAAGCUGGAAGGGCAGCUGAAAGCUAAGCAGGGACAGCUGAGUUUGGCAGAGGCAGAUAAUAGAGAUCUGAAUAGGAUAAUCGGGAAGUUAGAAAGGGGUGACCAAAAGCAUAUAGGGGGACCAUUGAAAACCAUAGAUAUGAGAUCCACUGAUUAGGGGCACAAGUCUAGAUGCUUCAGCAAAAAGUUAGGGAGUACGAGGAGCGAACUAGUUCACUAGAAAGAGAAGUACAGGAACAAAGGGCGAAUGAAGAUGAUAUUCACAUGGGGAUUCAAGCUAUGGGUAGGAUGAAGAAAAUCAUCAAGAAGAGAGCACGCUUUUUGGCAGCAUAUGUCGAAUACCACAUGGAGAUGAUGGAAGCCAUGGAAGAAGAAGGCGGGGAGACAUCAACCUUCUUAAGCCACUUCUACGAAGAACUAGAUUUUGACGGAAACAUGUCUAGAACCGGAGUUCAAAUUUUUGAGCUGUAGUUUGUACUUUCCUUUUGUAAAAUAAAUAAACGAUCAAUGUGUCAUGCUUUGGGUUGUAAAAGUGAUGUAGUAAUAAGCGCCACGGGUGUUAGUACCGUACUAUGUAGAAUGUUAUGAGCGUGUUUUACUGUUAAAGGUGAUCUUGUUUAUAAAACAGUUGUUAUGUGUUGAUGAUACCAUCCCUCCAUCCAUGCAUGUUUUCAAAACUCAUACAUAUCAUGCAACAUGAACAAAGCUUGGUUUUUUAAGUAUAACUAGAAAAAUAAAGAGACUCGUACCGCUUUUUCGCCAGGAAAAUCUUUCGACACUGCUCACUAACAGACGGUAGUCCCGACACACCAAUAUUGGACUCGCCUUAAAGCUAGGGUCAUGACUGAACAAACACUGGAAAAUCUCCAAAAGGAGAUGGCAAGAUUAAAGGAAGGCUAGCUGGGUUCGAUGAAAUGACGGAGCAGAUGAAGUUGCAUGUAAGAUUUGAUGGCUGGCAAAAAGAAGGUUAGAGAAGAUGAAGGCCAAAAGAUCGAUUCAGAAGUUCCUUUUCUUGAGCCAACAUGUGAUGGAAAUUCAGAAAGGAGAGUUGUCGUGAUCGGUAAUGAGCAAGAGAAAGCUGAACGGGAAACAAGAGAAGCUAGUGGGGACGGUACUCAUACUAGGUUCGAGCACAUUAAGCAUUCUGAAUUUCCCAUGGAUACGCUAUCCAAAGAAUGGUGCGAGUGCUUAGAAGUGGGAUUGCGGGCUGUAGAGGGUCUUGACUCUUACGGCACCCUCAAUGCAUCACAUAUAUGCCUUGUGUCAGAUGUCAUGAUGCCCCACAAUUUUAAGAUACCAGACUUUGAGAAAUAUGACGGCACCACUGUCCCGAGGAGCUAUCUGGUUACUGCAACAAAAUUGAAAACCAUACAUAUGAUGAUAAGCUGAUGAUGCAUUGCUUCCGGAGCAACUUGGGAGGCUCAGCUUUAAGGUGGUACAUGCAGCUUGAAAGAACAAAAGCUAGAAGGUGGCAAGAUGUUAUGAAUGCAUUCAUGAGACAUUAUAAACAUAAUCAAGAUCUUUCCCCAGAUAGGGAGGACUUGUGGGAUAUGGAGAACAAAGAGAACAAAUCAUUUCGUGAGUAUGCUCACAAGUGGUGAGAAAAGGUCGUCAAAGUAUAGUCGCCUAUGUUAGAAAAGGAGCUAGCCUCAAUUUUCUUUGAGACUUUGAAGCCCCCAUUCUACAGCAAUAUGUUGGGGAUAAUCAUGAAAAACUUCCCCGGCAUGUUGCUAAUCGGAUAAAGAAUUGAGAAGGGAAUCAAGCAUGGCAGAGUAGAUGGUCAUGAUCCUCUUAAGAAGCAGAAUACCACUCGUAAUAGGGAAGAGGUCAAUGCUACACGAGGUGAAGCUCCAAGGGCUGGAGGAUGGGUUCGACCGCCUUCAGGCAAUCAGGCAACGCCAUAUAUAGCCAGUGGUACACAAUCAACCGUUCACGCCUCAGCAAAGGACGACGCCCAAUCCUGCUAUUCAGCCAGGAGGAUACCAAGGAAAUCAACCCAUGUCAUACCACAGAGGCCAACCAGUUCGAACUUACUGGCAGAGUAGUUCUAACAAUUACAGGACACCGGAACCACUCGAUCACAUCCCAAUAUUGUAUACCAAGCGCUUCCCUCAGUUACUUAAGAGCAAGCAAAUCAUUCCAAUCCCUCUCAAACAGUUACAACCACCAUACACUAGCUGGUACGACCCAGAAGUCUGGUGCGAGUAUCAUGCUAGGGCACCUAGUCACAUGGUCGAAAACUGCAGGAGCUUCAAGUAUAGAGUACAAUAGCUAGUGAGGGCACGAUGGCUGAAAUUUGACGGUCAUCCCAGCCGCCCAGACUUCAAUAAGAACCCGCUCCCUAACCAUGGGGGCACAAUGUCGUUGUGAUCGGAAAGGGAGAAUCUUAUCGGGAGAAGCUGAAUGUUCCUGAGAUUAAAGCACUGUUGAAGUAUGUGUGCAAACUCCUCGUAGACGGUGGCUACCUAAACCACUAAGGGGCGAGGUAUCUCUGUAGGGCUAGAGGAUAAGUGUUUAUACCACCGCAUCAACUCUGACCAUACUAUGGAUGAUUGUGCGACUUUCAAGGAAAAGCUGCAGGCACUCAUGGACUCCAAACAAGUAACUUUCUCCUCAGGAAUCGAAGGAGCGGCUGACAUUUGCAUGGCGUCACCAGAAAGUCCAGACUUUGACUUCCCCAAGCUUGUGAUUUGCUAUCAUGCAGCCGCAAAACCUCCACUAUCGUCUUCGAAAGUAACGCCAUUGGUUAUAAGGGUCCCAAGACCUUUCGAGUAUAAAAGCUCCAAAGCGGUCCCGUGGGAGUAUGCAUGUCAAGCUAGUGAUGAAGACAACGAGACCCUCCAAUUAUAACCAAUAUACUCGAGUUAAGCCGAAUCACAGGGAGCGGAAGGCACUAUGGCAUGCCUGAUGACCUAGACGAAACAGAAAGGGUUAGAAGGGCGGAAAUAAGGCAAGGAAAAAGAGCGUAAUCUGAAAUUACUGAACCAGAUAGUGUUCCUCCUCGGGGUGAAUACGAGGGGAUGAAGGAAGAUGAAGAUUAUGAACCAAGAGUUACUGAUGAAGAUGCAUGUUAGUUCCGGAGGUUUGUAAGGCAUAAUGAGUCAAAGUAGUAGAGGAGCUUUACCGCACCCCAGCAAGGAUUUCACUCAUGUCUCUGAUGUUGACCUCUGAGCCCCAUCGUCGAGCCCUCAUAAAAGUUCUGAACCAGGCGCAUGUCUGCCAUGAUGUCUUGGUAUAGCAUUUUGGAGAACGGGAAAAUCACUUUCGACGAAGAUGAAAUACCUUCUGAAGGAAUGGGCCACAGUAAGGCAUAUCUCUGUAAAGUGUAUGGAUUUCAUGAUAGCAUGAUAACGGUUCAUCACUGAACUUUAUGCCAUCCACCCUAAACAAGCCCCCAAUUGAUGACUCAUACCUUAAGCCAAGCUUCACAGUGGUUAGGGCCUUUGAUGGCACAAAGCGCAAAUUCAUAGGGGAAAUCUCGCUACCCAUUCAAGUGGCACCCAAGGUCUUUCAACUGGAUUUCUGGGUAAUGGACAUAAACCCUACGUACAUCCUAUUGUUGGGAUUCUCGUGGCUCCAUACAGUGGGUGUAGUACCAUUGUCCCUACACCAAAAACUAAAAUUCGAAUCGAUGGAAAGCUUAUUGAAUUGCUCGAAGAGGAGGAUACGCUGGUAUCCAGAACUUCGAAAGCACCCUAUAUUGAAGCUGAAGAGGAAGCCUUGGAAAGUGCAUUCCAGACCAUCAAAAUAGUGGACUUCGCAUACGUAGGACGCAGUAUGGCCCAGAAAGCCCACAUUUUCCAAGCGACUCUGACAUCAGCAAAAUGCUUGGUUAAGAACCUCCACUACUCAUAAUACGAGGAGGUGCUGAAAGAACCUAUCCAGGUCAAAGAGUACAAGAACCGUGUGGGAUUGGGAUACAGUCCAAAGGGUGAUGAUAUAAGGAAGAUCUAAAGGGAACAGAGAAGGAGGAGGAUGUCCAAGUUAAUUGCGAUAUAAUAUGAUGACGACUUGACCUUCAUACCUCCUCCAUUAGGAGCGCUAGAAAGAUAAAUAUGAGGAAAAACUACACUGACCCGACAGUCGGAGGAUUAUAGUGGGAUUUUACAGAUAUCUCCAUCAACAUGCUGGGUACGGAAACUACGACCGGAAUAGAAUGGGUGCGCCAACUUCGUCCGGAAGAAGAGCUGAGCAAUUGGGUGUCUUUGGAGUUGCCUUCGCCAUCGCAAAUGUAAUAACUCUAAAAAUAUGACUACUAAAUAAAAGAAGCAAGAGUCUUCUAGUAUUUUUCCCAAGUUUAAUAAAGUAUGUUUUUCAUAAAUCUCCAUUUGUGCAUCGUCCAUAUUUUUCACUUUCGCUUUUCUUCUUUUGCCCUUUUCUAUUCCCUCUCGUGUAACAGAGUUACAGAUGUGUUUGAAAAUAAUGAAGAGUUUUGAAACACUAAAGUUGACUUUGAUCACUCAGUUUAUGAGGUGGAAACUAUGGAUGGCAGUGAUAGUUCUGACCUAGAAACAUAUUGGAUGGUGGAACGAGAAAAGCGAUCCUUGGAACCAUUCUAUGAGUUAGUGUAGAUUGUUAAUUUAGGAACGGAGGAGAAUCAGCAUGAGGUUAAGGUAGGAGGCAGUUUAGACAAGGCAGAAAAGGACAGGCUCAACGAACUACUCCAGAACUUCCAUAAUGUUUUCGCAUGGUCGUAUCAGGAUAUGUUGGGCCUCGAUGAACGAAUAGUAACACAUCACUUGCCAACAAAUAAGGAAUGCAAACCAGUAAAGCAAAAGUUACGGUGGAUGAAACUGGAAUGGAUAUUCAAAAUUAAGGAAGAAGUGCAUAAACAAUAUGAAGUCGGGUUAUUGCAGAUAGCACAAUACACUGAUUGGGUCUCUAAUAUAGUCCCCGUGCCUAAAAAGAAUGGAAAAGUGAGAAUGUGUGUGGACUACAGAGAUGUUCUCGUUGAUAAUACCGCCAAUCACCAUAUGUUUUCUUUCAUGGAUGGUUUCUCAGGAUACAACAAGAUUAGGAUGUUUCCGGAGGACCUGGAAAAAACCACCUUCUAGUGGGCCAUGAUCAUGUUGUUCCAUGACAUGAUACACAAAAAAUAGAGGUCUGUGUGGAUGAUAUUAUAGGAAAAUCCAAAAGGAGGGAUGAUCACGUAGUCGUGCUACGAAAAUUGUUAAAGCGACUCAGAAAAUACCAGCUCCUGCUGAAUCAAGAAAAAUGUACGUUCUGAGUCACUUCGGGAAAGCUACUUGGUUUCUUGGUUAGCCAAAAUGGGAUUGAAGUGGACCCUGACAAAGUGAAGGCAAUAGUUGACAUGCCUCCUCCACAAACGCAAAAAGAGGUGCGGGGAUUCUUAGGACACUUGAAUUACAUUAGCCGGUUCAUAUCACAUUUGACCACAACAUGUGAACCCAUUUUCAAGCUUCUAAAAAAGAACCGGCAUGUCGAUUGGGAUUAUGAUUGUGAUCACGCCUUUCAGAAAGUCAAAGAGUGUUUAUUAAAUCCUCCGGUUUUGGUUCCACCAACCCUAGGAAGGCCACUAAUAUUGUACUUGACGGUAUUCAAAAACUCAGUAGGCACAAUGUUGGCCCAACUUGAUGAAUCGGGAAAGAAAGAGUAUGCCAUAUACUACGCCAGCAAGAAGUUCACUGACUAUGAAUCUCGAUAUACACCGCUCGAGAGAACUUGCGGAGCACUUGCAUGGGUAGCCAAAUAGCUGAGACAAUCUAUAUUAUAUCAUACGACACUCCUAAUAUCCAAAAUGGACCGUAUCAAGUAUGUCUUCAAAAAGUCAGCCCUAUCUGGACGGAUAGCCCGAUGGCAAGUGCUGCUGGCAGAGUACGACAUCGUUUAUACCCCACAGAAGGCCAUUAAAUGGAGUAUAGUGGCUGAUCAUCUAACAGAGCAUGCAAUCUCUGACACGAAACCGAUGUUCAUGCACUUUCCUGAUGAAACUAUAAUGAACACUAAGAAAUUGAAGGAAGGCUUGGUCCAAAAGACAUGGGUGAUAAAGUUUGACGGGGCCUCAAGCUCAUUGGGGCAAGGCGCCGGGGUCGUGUUCAUCUCUCCCGAAGGGACGGUGUGUCCUAUCACUGCCAAAAUUUACUUUGAUUUGACCAACAAUGUAGCGAAGUACGAAGCCUGCACUUUCGAGAUUCGGGCAUUACGAAUUUCAAGGUAUAUGGUGAUUCAGCGCUAGUAAUAUACCAGUUGAAAGAAGAAUGGUAAAUAUGGGAUCAUAAGCUCGUCGCAUACUAGAAAUACAUAAGGGAAAUGGUGGCGAAAUUUGAGUUGAUACAAUUUAAUCACAUCUCGUGAGUGGACAACCACAUUGUCGUUGAUGUAUGAACUGGAUGAGACUAAGGCUAACCCCGGAAUCGAAAUCAAAAAUCAAAAUGCACCUGCUUACCUAGCUAAUGUUGAAGAAGAGCGUGAUGGGAAUCCCUAGUACCACGACAUAAGGACUUACCUACAUAAAAAGGAAUACCCUGCAGGGGCAUCUGAGAAUGAUAAAAGGACUCUACGGAGAUUGGCGAUGGGUUACUAUGUCGAUGGGGCUACCCUCUCCAAAGUGUGCCACGACUCUUUAACUGCUAAGAUGUGUGGACACCCCUGAAGCUCAGAGAAUAAUAGAAGAAGUCUAUGAGGGAGUCUACAGCACACAUACGGUGGUCAUGCACUAGCUAAACAGAUACUAAGGAUGGGAUACUAUUGUACGAAAAUGGACUCCGACUGUGUAAGAUACGUGAGAAAAUGCCACAAGGUCCAGGUUUAUGCCGAUGAAAUGCAUGUGCCUCCAUAAUUGUUUCACGUCAUGGCAUCGCUUUGGCCUUUUGUAGCAUGGGGGAUAGACGUCAUAGACAUGAUUGAACCAAAAGCGUCAUAGCCAUCGACUACUUCACAAAAUGCGAACAUCGCCAAACGCGUUGUCACAAAAUUCAUAAAGAAAGAAAUCAUUUGCCAGUAUGGGCUCCAAGAAAGAAUAAUAACCGACAAUGCAAAAAUUCUUAACAACAAGAUGAUGGAUGACCUUUGUGAGUAGUUUAAGAUCAAGCACCACAACUCGGUACCAUACCGACCAAAGAUGAACGGAGCGGUCGAGGCGACGAACAAAAACCUCAAGAAUAUCAUAUAGAGAAUGGUCGUUACCUAAUGUGAUUGGCACAAAAUGUUACAGUUUUUCUUGCAUGGUUAUCGAACGUCAGUAAGAACCUCGACAGGAUUGACGCCUUACCAAUUAGUCUAUAGGAUGGAGGCGGUGCUUUCCAUAGAGGUAGAAAUACCUUACUAAGGGUUAUCAUGGAGGCGAAGUUAGAAGAAGUUGAGAGGAUAAAAAAGAGUAAUGACCAGUUGAAUUUAAUUGAUGAGAAAAGGUUGGCAGCAUCCACCACAGACACACGUAUCAGUGUUGAUUGAUUAGAGCUUUAACAAAAAAGUGAAACCACAAGAAGUCCACGAAGGAGAGUUGGUAACGAAGAAGAUUUCCAUUCGAUAAGGGGACCCAAGAGGAAAGUGGAUGUUGAACUAUGAAGGGCCCUAUGUAGUGAAGAGGGUUCUCAGGAGAGGCAAUGAUACUAACAAGAAUGGACGGAGACGAGCUCCCUUAUCCAGUUAACUCUGAUUCAGUUAACAAGUACUAUGCUUAGAGUUCACAAAGGAAAUGUACGAUAUUGGUUUUCCAUCAAUAAAGUGAGGGUUUAAGUCAACUUUAUGUUUUGGAUACUUCAUGAAUUCUCAAAUACUAUUCUCCUAACCUUUGUUCACGCGUCACCAAACAAAAUGGACGAGGCACAACAGACCAAAUAAACUUGUGACAAAUACAUUCAUGCUGACACUUUUUCGUUCUAAUUAAUCAUUAGGAGACUUUUCGAAUGGAAGUACUAUUAAAGUGAAGAAAAAAGAAGAAAAAUAUACAAAAAUAAAAACAAAGUAAUAAUAAUAAUAAUAAUAAUGAAAAUCGUUGAAAGAAUGCAAGAGUGAAAAAAGAGGCUAAAAGAAAAGAAGCCCAUAUGGCAGGAUUGCUCCACUUAUUCCUAACCCAAGAAAGCAAUUUACAAAUGUCGUCGUUAUCUUACCAUUAUAUCUGGAAGCAGAGACAAGGUAAGAAGGCGCGAUCUGUAAAAUUCCAAGGCCUUAGCAUAGUGUGAAGAUGUCAAAAGAAAAACAAAGGAAAAGAAGUACAUAUGGUAAUAUUACUCAGCUAUCAGCAAAGUUAACACCAUUGCGCUAGCGCAUAAAUGAAAACGAAGCGGCAAGUCGGCUCUUAAGAUUAAGAAUCACGAACAUUUACUAAAGAUCAGCAAUGUCCCUACCUGUAUUUGGGGGCAGCAUUCCAAGCUAAAUGGGGCGAUGGUUGAAACUACCUGUAUUUGGAUUAUCCUGCCAAUAGUUAUCUUAGAAAAAUCUGUGAUGUUCUUCGUCAGCGAAGGUAACGUCUUGUUGCAAUGAGCUGCCCUGGAAGGACCUAUGAACAAGCGCAGUUUCUGACGUUUGACAAUGUGCCUUCUACAAAACAGUUAAUUUCCUUAGAAUAAGAAAAUCAACAUCCUGCCAUCACCUGCAUAGGUUUUGUAAACAGGGAAGCUUACUCAAACAUUUUCAAAACCAUUCAUCAUUAACACAUUCGUAGUCAUGGAACGGGAAAUAAGUCAAGCUAAGUCUCUAGUACAUUCACCCUUACCAUCUUGGGGAAAUGGAUAGCACCUUGGAAGAAGGGAGGAAGCAGAGGACGAGAAGAGGAGGAGAAGAAGGAGGAGGAGAGGAUGAGAAGGGGAGCAGAAGAAGAGGAGGAGAAGAAGAAGGAACUGUGGAGGCGCCGCUACCGGCGCCGGCAUCGGCACCAGAAGGAGAAGAAGGGAGGAGAGAUGUCAGAGCAUUUUGAGAGAGAGAGAGAAGGGUGAAGAAAUGGGCGUUUUCGAUUUAAGAACUGUUGGAUUGAAAAAAAAUGAAUGACAAAAACACCCAUGUCCAAAUUAAGAACUGUUGGAUUCAAAUUAAAACAUGAAUGGACAAGAUUUGUUUUUCAGGAGCAAAUAACCUCCGUCCUGGCUGGGGAUCCAGACUAUCAUAUGGAUCCCAUGUUGCAAAGUAAGACUUUUCUUACAACUUCUGUCAUGAAUGCCAAUCAGUCUUAUGUUCUGCAUAUUGUUACUUUUCCUAUAGAUAUUUGUAAAGAAAUUUAUUAAAGAAUCUAUAACUUUAUGUGUGGUAGCCUUCCAGAUAUGAGGAAACCUCACAUGAUUUCUUGGGAUGUUGUUUGCAGGCCAAAUUAGCAAUAAGGUUAUUUCAAAUUAGGGAAGGCUAAGGAGUUCAAUAAUGCCUACCUUACGAAACUUGCUUGGAAUAUUCUAGCCGAUGAACGGUUUUUAGGCGUUAUCAAAAUAAAUCUAGUUAACAAAUUAAAUAGAGGCAAAUCUCCCUAGAGUUUCAAUGUCAUGACUACUCAAAGUUAUGAAAACUGUUAAUCAAUUAAAUAGAUUUUGUGGUGUAUAUUCCACAAAUUUCUAAGUCCAUCAAUUAUUCUAAUAAUGAAAAUGACAUGGAGAAUAACACAAGGCUACAAGACGACACGAUAUAAGGUUUGAACCAAAUGGGAGAAAAUGGUUUAGACUUCGAAUCCCCUAGGCUAUCCAAUUUCACAAAUGACGGACAAAUUCAAUGAUUUUAUCAAAACAAGAUAGAUUCAAUUCACCAACGCAGUUCUUCUCUAAUCAAAUUACGCCAUUUUGAAUCCCCUAGGCUAUCCAUUUUCACAAAUGACGGACAAAUUCAAUGAUUUUAUCAAAACAAGAUAGAUUCAAUUCACCAACGCAGUUCUUCUCUAAUCAAAUUACGCCAUUUUGAAUCCCCUAGGCUAUCCAUUUUCACAAAUGACGGACAAAUUCAAUGAUUUUAUCAAAACAAGAUAGAUUCAAUUCACCAACGCAGUUCUUCUCUAAUAAAAUUAUGCCAUUUUGGGUCUGCUAAUCUGCUACCUAUCUACUAUCCCAGUCCAAUCUUUUGAGACAAAGAUCUAAAAUCCUCCAGGUCACAAAACAAACGAGAACUUCUCAAACGACGGAUUAGUUUAUUCGCUCCCAGAUGAGGGUUUAAGACAUAACUUAGCUGGUUAAUUUUUGUGUUCUAGGUAUACAAGAUCUUUUGAGACGAAGAAAAACCUAACAAAGAUUCAUUCAAGUUGAUCAAGAAAGAACAAAUCGGAAACGAAAUCAAACAUAUACUGAAAUUCACCCAACUCGCAUAAAUCGACAAAAGUAGUCAAGUCAUUCGUUCAUAAGGAAUUACCUAGGAUUAAUCUAAUCUAAGCACGAGCAAUUUAGAUACUCAUAACUUUGAAGAACAAAUCAAAAUCAAAAAAGGAACACAAUAGAAUUAGGUUACUAAGAAGAAAUCUGAAAAACCUAAUUUCGCCGAGAAUUGUCGAAGAAAUCGACCCGUCAAUCUUGAUUAUGUCUUCCGAUCCAAGCUCCUUGAAGUCCAUGCCUUUUAGUUGCAACAAAGUAUCUGAACUAUUCUAUAAUUUUUGUCCAAAAGGGUCUAUGAAUUAAUAGGAAGAGCCGGGCUUUAUAGAGAAUGAUUCCUUAAGUCUGACGGGCUACGAAAAGUGUGUUGUACGUGGACAAAAAAUGCGCCGCGCACUUUUGGUCAUUUGAUUGCGUACUUUUGGUAAAAAUCACAGAAUCUCAUGUGUAUACAUUUUUUAUAAAAUUUAACUAACUUUCUGACGCCGCCGACCUUGCAUCAAUCGGACUUCUGAGCUAGGAGAUAUUUCUAAAUCUAUCAAUUAUUCUGAUAAUGCAAAUGACAGGAAAAAUGAUACAAGGCUGCAAGACUGCACGAUAUAAGAUUUGAACCAAAUGGGAAAAAAUGGCUUAGACUUUGAAUCCCCCUAGGCUAUCCAAUUUCAACAAGCAAUGAGAAGCAUUUCAACAUCUUCUGAGAGCUUGGAUCUCGACUUGGUCGUAAAACGUCGCACUUUCGUAUUUUCGACAUGCCUCCUAGUUUAGAAGUCUGAUUGAUGUAAAGUCGGUAGCAUUGGAAACCUACUUAAAUUUUAUAAAACUAGAGAAACAUGAGAUUCUGUGAUAUUUACCAAAAUUGCGCUAUAAAAUGACCAAAAGUGUGCGGCACACUUUUGGUCCGCAUACAGCGCACUUUUGGUAAUCCGUAAGACAUAAGGAAUCAUUCUCUAUAAAAGUCCAGCUCUUCCUCAUAAUUCAUAGACCCUUUUGGACUAAAAUUAGAGAAUAGCUCAGAGACAUCGAAGCGACGACAAGGCAUCAACUUUAAGGAGCUUGGAUCGAAAGACAUAAUCAAGAUUGACGGAUCAAUUUCUUCGACGGUUCUCGGCAAAAUUAGGUUUUUCAGAAAUAUUCUUCUAAACCUAAUUCCAAUGUAUUUGUUUUUGCUGAUUUUGAUUUGUUCUUUGAAGUUAUGAGUAGCUAAACUCAUCGUGCUUAGAUUAGUUGAACCCUAGGUAAUUCCUUAUGAAUGACUGACUUGACGACUUUUGUCGAUUUAUGCGAGUUGGUUGAAUUUUAGUAUAUGUUUGAUUUUGUUUCCAAUUUGUUCUUGCCUGAUCAACUUGAUUGAAUCUUUGUUAGAUUUUUCCUCAUCUUGAAAGAGGUCGAAUAUCUAGAACACCAAAAUUAACCAACCAGGUUAGUCGUUAACUCUCAUCCAAGAGCGAAUAAACUAGUCUGUCGCGUGAGCAGUUCUCGUUUGUUUUAUCGCCUAGCGGAUUUCAGAUCUUUGUCUCGAAAGAGCAGACUGGGAUACUAGAUAGAUAGCAGAUUAGCAAACCCAAAAGUGAGUGAUUUGAUUAAGGAAGAACAGCGACGAUGAGUUGAAUCUAUCUUGUUUUGUUCAAAUCGAUUAAAUUUGUCUAUCAUAAAAUGCAUGACUUAUCACUCCGAUUAAUGCCUCAAUAUCGUCAUGUAUAUGAAAUCUAUCAAAAACACUCCAGAAAACAUCAAAUGGACCCCGAUCGGGUCAGAGACACUAAAUCGAGAUAAAAGCUUAAAAUGCAUAAAACAUCCUAAACUUCUACCUAAAGCAAUACAAUUAUACAUGAAAUGUCACUUAAAUGACAGUGAUAAAUGUGACAAUCUAGCAUCGUCACUGGCGUAGCUGGAUGCUCUUUAGGUUAAGAUCCUUUUGGCGAAGUAUACCAAACAAGGACCACAUGAGACAUAAAUGAUUAGGAAGAAGUCUGCUCCCCCCCCCCCCUCUUGGUGUGGUAUAUGUCGUGUCUCAUCCUUUGUGCAACAAGGGGUGAAAUAUUAUGUUCGGAGUGGUACAUGUACAUACUAGAUUUUGGUUUUAUAGUUGGAUCGAUGGAGGUGUUAUCUCUAUGAGAUGAAGAAGACCGAUGAAGGAGGGAAAUCCGAGUUGAUUGGUCGAUGAUCAAGGGUAGAGGAUUAGAGAAGCUAUGAGAUUCAUGAGAAGGUAAUCAAUCCUCUCUUUUCUCUCUUAAUACUAUAGAUUGAAACCCACGUAGGAAAACCUGGCAAUCAGGAUUUUUUGAGAUUCAAUCUUUGAUUGAUCUAUUCAGGUCUAUCAGGACGGGAGGAUUAAGCUUUGGGAAGAAAACCACGAAUCAGACUCUAUCGGGAAAGCAUUCUAGGUGCGAGGAUUAAGAGUACUUUCUGCUUAAAGCGUAGAACCGUAAUUAGGAUUGGCAGGAAUCCGAUGAUCGGAUUCUCGGGAUUGUACAAUAACGUGUUGUGUUUCGGAGCCCGGCUCCUAGGACUGUGUAGUAGCGUGUGAUUUACUGUAUGGUUGUUGUGAUUACAGAGCUGGACUCUCAAUACUGUUCAGUAGUGUGUGAUCUACUGGACAGGGCUAUAAAAUAGCGUCGAGCUCUCUGACUUUAGUAGUGUGUGAUCUAUUGUAAAGAUUGUUGUUUAAGUUCGAGCAUAAGCUGAUGACGUUUGAACUGUGAUUCAUAGUUCAUGUUUAGGACAUGAUUCAGGUUUACCUAGAUUAGCUCCCGAUAUGCAUUGGUCACCCACCCAUGGAUUGCGCAAUCCCCUAGGAUGUUUCUACCGGUACAGAGAACAUGUCGAGUAUGCCUACAGAUGCUGCUCACACGGUAUCUACAUGGUGGUUUCAUGGUCUGAUCCACCAUGAGGCUAUCAACUACUAGCUAGGGGUAACUGAUGAUAGGAUGAGGCUAUCAACAUCUGUUGCUGCAGCAUCAACAUUUUUUGAGCUUUCAAUUGAGGAGGAAGUUUUAGAUCUUGUAAACCCCUCAUCUGCUGAAGCUGUUGUAGUUGCUAAAGCUGUUGUGGGCUAAGUUGUUGGAGUUAUUAAGGGUUUAGCUGCAUACCACCUCCACCUCCACCGUCGCCGCCCUUGAUCGGAUUAUUGGGGUGGUGGUGGUGGUUGUUACCUCCGUCGUCGCCUCCUCCUCCUUCUUUCUGGGCUUUGCCAUUCUCAAAUUGCAUGCUUUUCAACUGAUUAGGAUUAUUAUUGGUUUUAGUUUGCUUUUGGGCGCCCCAGAAUUCGGUGUGUUUGUCAGCUUUGUUAAGCUUCUGAAUGCGAAAAACAGGGUCGAUGCUUCCUGAUACUAUUACUUUACCUUGGUCUAAAUCUAUUUGAGUUGAAAUGAAGCAAAAGUGAAAGAAAAAAUAAUAGAGAAUGGAGAAAGAGAGAAAGAGGGAUUUUUUUUACUCUUUAUACAUAGUUUCCCAAGGAACACAAAUGGGGUUUAGAUCUGAUUACAGAACAAAAAAGAAAUAACUAAAAUGGGGUGAAGAGAAGUGCUCUAUUUGUCAUGUGUUAUUUUUGGUGAUAAUGUGGGUGGGUUUGAAAAGCUCAAACAACAAAAAUUCAGAAAAGGAGGUUGUGAAAAAAUGUUCAGGAAAGAUUUGUAGAUAAAAAAAGAGAGGCGAAAUGGAGGGGAGGGGGAGGAGGAGUUGCAUAUAUAAAAUAUAUAGUGUGGAGUUUUGUUGGUUUUUGUAUUUUAGGGUAAAGAAAGGGAGAAAAUGGAAAAAUGUAGGGAAGAAACAGAAGUGAAGAGAGAAAUAAAUAUUUGACACCUAAUAAAACGGAAAGUACGGUGUUAUAAAAAUAUUUUCCUUAUAGUUCGUGAUAUCAGAGGGGAUUUAGCCUUUUUAAUACCGUUUGAAUUAAUUUUAAUUUAAAAAAUUAAUAUUUUAUUAAUACAGUUCAUAUAUAAUUAUAUUUUUAGUUAGAGAUAUAUUAGUGAUAAAAUAAAAUACGGACAGUAACUAUACUUUAGCUUAUUUCGUAAGACUCGACUGAAUAAGUGGGUAUUAUUAUUAUUUCAGGAGCCGCAAGAGAAAUAAAUAACUAAUUACGCAUGCUUUUACUUUCUUUCUGCUCAGAAGUCCGAAGAAACCAGGAAUGGAGAAAUUUAAACUGCUAACCACAACCGACAACUCUAUUGACUCACUUUGUCCUAAAUCAAACACUUCACCAAAUCUAAGUUAGUUUUGCUGCAUUUUCCUUCAAAGUCUGCAUCUUUACCCUUUUUUCCUUUACACUAGCUAAGCUAAGUAGGUAGCAGCAAACUCACAUCAGCAUUAUAGCCUUAUAGGGGUGGAGGGUGAGAUGGGAUCAGUCUCAGCGAGAUUCAAGCCAGCAUCACUAUGUUCUUCCGCGGUCAACCUCCUCAUGAUCUUCUCAGUCAUCACUACUAAUCUCUUCGCUCUCUACGCCUGAACUCACUCCCCCAACAACAACAACAACAACAACAACAUUCACCAUAAGAACAUCUCCUUAAUCUCCCACCAAGUCUCUCUGAUUCUCAGAGAGAUUGAUUCUUCCCAGAAGAAGCUAGCCAGGAUGGAGAAGGAACAAUUGAUAUCUCCCGACCCAACAUCGCCACCGAGCUCAAAUUGUAUCUCCAGCAUCACAAUAUCCCACUAGGCAAAGAUUCCAGAACUGGGAUCACUGAGAUGGUGGCAUCCGUUGGAAAUUUUUGUGACAAAUCUGCUGAUUUGCUCUCUCAGUAUAUGAACUAUAAGGUUUCUGGAGCUUGCCCUGAUGACUGGAGCCUAGCCCAGAAGCUGAUUCUUCGAGGGUGUGAGCCUUUGCCCAGGAGGAGAUGCUUUGCCAACUCAAUUCCUAAGGUGGGUCUUCUUCACUCAUUUCCUCUUUCUCUUUGGAAGCCUGUGAGCGAUAAGAUUGCUAGUUGGAGUGGUCUUGGUUGCAAGAGCUUUGAGUGUUUAGUAAGAAGAAACUACUAAGUGAAGAAUUUGAUUUAGGGAAUGAGAAUCAUACGUACGUUAAGGGUAGAGGGAAGAAUGAUCUCUUGGCUGAUGAUGUUUUGGGAUUGGCAAGUGGUGGGAUUAGGAUAGGGCUUGACAUUGGUACUGCUUCUGGUGGGACAUUUGCUGCUAGAAUGGGUCAAAGGAAUGUCACUGUGAUUACAAACACACUGAAUUUGGAUGCUCCUUUUAAUGAGUUUGUUGCUGCCAGAGGCCUAUUUCCUCUUUACUUGAGCUUGGACCAUAGGUUUCCCUUCUACGACAAUGUCUUCGAUUUAAUUCAUGCUGCUGCAUUUUAUUUCGGGACCAAGCCUGAGAAGCUAGAGUUCUUGAUAUUUGACAUUGAUCGGAUACUGAGAGCUGGGGGCUUGUUUUGGCUGGAUAACUUAUACUGUGCCAAUGAUGACAAGAAAUCGGCUUUGACUCAUUUGAUUCAGAAAUUUGGGUACAAGAAAUUGAAAUGGGUUGUGGGCGAUAAGCUUGAUUCAACUGAGAAACCCCAAGUUUCAUUAUCUGCAGUGCUUAAAUAACCGGCAAGAGGAUGAUAGGCAUGGAAUUCGUGCGAUGUGGUGGAUGUUUUCAGUCUCCUUUUACAUCGAGAUGAGGUCGACAACAAUUCAUCAAGAUGUCACAUUCUUGGAACACCCUAAUGGGGAUCUUCUUCUUCUUCUUCAUACUAUGAUGCAAUAAGCAGAUAAGGGAGACCAGAAGACCAUCAUGACGAAAGUUUGUUAUGUAAUUUAGGAAAUAUCUAUUUUCCCCUUUCUUGAUCAUUAAACUCGACAAAACUUCAAACUGCAGGGAAAUUGUAGUCCCCAGUGAUUUUCUUCCAAGUUUUUACCAUGGAAAUCAAGAAAAAACUUGAGAUUUUAGGAGACUAGACAUUGACAUGGAUGGUUGUCGAAGUAAUCUUCGUUUUGAUUUGGUCACUUACAUUACACCAUCCCAUUAGUUUAUGACAAAUUACUACAUACAUUACAGGAAGGCAGUAGCACCUUAGUAACUUACUACCCUAUUUAGCUAUAUAUAGCCGAUAACUCACUCAACUCCACCUUCCUAAUCGGUUUUCGAACUCCGAAAAAGAAGCAGCUCAAUUGCCAUGCUGAUCUCUUCAUUUGCCGUUUUAUGAUCAGACACGAAUCGCUGGAAUCAAUAACUCGUAUCCUUGUUAGUAACCUUGUCCAGCUAAGGAUGAGGUUGUCCCUUGCUGAAUAUUGGCAUUGUUGAGAAGCUUCAUUCCUUCCUCGCUGAUCUGCUGAACUUCUUGAGGUGACAGUAUCCUUAUGCACCGUACGCACCCAACAAAUUCCCUUUUAAACCAAAAAU